AAAGGUCUGUGCCUUAUAAUGAGGAGGCCUAAAACCUUUCCUCACGAGGCGCCCCUACGGGGGACAAAACCGUGAGGGACACCUGUCCAGCAGCCACGCGCUUGCAGGUGGGUCCGCCACCGUGUGAGCCAAAGCGCCCACGGUUCCCAAAGCGGACAAUACCAUAUCGCUCUGCCGAGCUGAGCUGUUCCAGCACUCUC
rnacentral:lncRNA from 1 species